AGUGAACGCUGGCGGUAGGCCUAACACAUGCAAGUCGAACGGCAGCACAGUAAGAGCUUGCUCUUACGGGUGGCGAGUGGCGGACGGGUGAGGAAUACAUCGGAAUCUACUUUUUCGUGGGGGAUAACGUAGGGAAACUUACGCUAAUACCGCAUACGACCUACGGGUGAAAGCAGGGGAACUUCGGACCUUGCGCGAUUGAAUGAGCCGAUGACGGAUUAGCUAGUUGGCGGGGUAAAGGCCCACCAAGGCGACGAUCCGUAGCUGGUCUGGGAGGCUGAUCAGCCACACUGGAACUGAGACACGGUCCAGGCUCCUACGGGAGGCAGCAGUGGGGAAUAUUGGACAAUGGGCGCAAGCCUGAUCCAGCCAUACCGCGUGGGUGAAGAAGGCCUUCGGGUUGUAAAGCCCUUUUGUUGGGAAAGAAAAGCAGCAGGUUAAUACCCCGCUGUUCUGACGGUACCCAAAGAAUAAGCACCGGCUAACUUCGUG
rnacentral:rRNA from 1 species